CAAAUAUCCCUCCGUGCGGAAACACUUGACAUCAAACUAGAUAAAAGGGGAUGUAUCUAGAUGUAUUUUAGUUCUAUAUACAUCUCUUUUUCUUCAUUUUGAUGACAAGUAUUUUCGGACGGAGGGAGUAUAAG
rfam:Triticum aestivum genome assembly, contig: Triticum_aestivum_CS42_TGACv1_scaffold_576747_7BL